ensembl:lncRNA
CGGGGGAGGGCAGGGGGAGGCGGGGGAGAAGCCCCGCUUUCCUAACGGGCGCGGGGUCGGUGCUCGCACACACCCACCCACCUCUUCCCGCUCAGAGCUCGGGAAGGGGGGCGGCCGGGGGCCGCUUUUUGCACCCCGUUAGAUUUAUUAUUUGAUUUUUUUUGUUUUUUUGUUUUCCUUUCUCUAUCUUUUAUUUUGUCUUUUUGGUCUGGUUCACACACACUCGCACCCCCCUUCCCUGCAAGGGACGGUGAUUUGUUUAAGCAGAUUUGGGGGCUGAUGGCUCCGACUCUCUCCUUGCCCUGUUUCUCUCGCUCCCGGAGUCCUGCUGCACUGAGUUGGGGCGGGGGGACUGGGAAGGGGGGUGGCGGGAAUCCAGGGGGAGAAUAAAUGGUAACGAUCAAGCACUCUCUCUCUCUCUCUCUCUCUCUCAUACACACACACACGUUCACACUCGGUGUGGCUGCAGCAGUGCUCAGCCCUGGGUUAAUGUACUCAACAGUGCCACUACCUGACACAACAGCAGCAGUGAUGGGGGCAGGGGAGAAAAGGCAGAGGAGGUGAGAGGCUCAGGUUGGAGCUGUUUAGCCCACUUCAGCUAUUCCUCUCCUACUUCCCUCACACGUGCCAUGUCACAACACAGCUGCUGCAGACUCACUCCCUGAGCAGGAGAUCUUUGGGGUGCAGUGACUGAUGGUCAGGUUUGACAUGAAGAACCCAUCUCUGGGGAUGGAGAGAAAAGACAAGGACUCUCAACACCUUUGGCAAGAAUUUCCUUAUCAGCAAGCUGGAAAAACUCAAAGCUACUGAGUGCUCUGUGCGUGGGGAGAGCAGCAAUCCACAAAGAUGGACUAAUUCCAGAGGAAUUCAAGUGAAGACUGUGUCACAACUAUUAACCCAAUUUUAAAGAUGCUCCAAACUGCUGCCAGCAUGUACUUUAUAUAAUGUGACCGAAGUUUGGACUGCUGAUCUUCAACAUCUAUACCAGUGAUAUAGAUAAUGGGAUUGAGUACAUCUUCAGCAGUUUUCUGAUGACAUCAAGCUGAGUGGUGCAGUUGAUAUGACAGAAGGAAAGGAUACCAUCCAAAGGGACCUGGACAGACUGGAGAGGUGGGCCCACAUGAGCUAAUGAACAAGGCCAAGUGUAGAGUGUUGGGUUGGAGUAAUCUCAGAUAUGUGUACGGAAUGGGAGAAGAAUUCAUUGAGAACAGCCUUGGACAGAAGGAGCUGGGAGUUAUGAUGGAUGACGAGCUGGAUAUGAGGCAGCAGUGCACACUUGUAGCCAAGAAGACCAACAGUAUCCUGGGCUACAUAAAAUAGGUGUGGCAGUGAGCAGGGAGGGGAUUGUCCCCCACUUCUCUGCUCUUGUGAGGCAUCUGUCUGGAUGGAGUACCAUGUCCACACCUGGGGCCCCCAGCAAAAGAAGGAUGAAGAUCUGUGGGAGAGGAUCCAAAAGAAGGUCACAAAGAUGUUCAGAGAGGUGGAGCACUUCUGAUACGAAGAAGGAUUAGAGUGAGAUGUGCUUAGCUUGGAGAAGAGAAGGAUCUGGGAAGACCUCAUAGAAACCUAAUACUUGAGGGGAGCUUAUAAGCAGAGGGGAGCUUAUAAGCAGAAGGGAGGUGCAAUUUUUGAUGUGAUUGGAAAGGGAGAAAUGGCUUUAAACUAAAAGAGGGGAAAUUUAAGUUGGAUGUUAGGAAGAAAUUCUUUCCUCAGAGGGUGGUGAGACCGUGGCACAGGUUGCCUGGAGAAGCUGUGGAUGCCCCAUUCCUGGAGUCAGCCAAGGCUAGGCGCCCUGAGAAGCCUGGUUUAGUGGCUGGCAACCUUUCCCAUGGCAGGGGGAUUAGAGAUUAAUGACUUUUAACCUUCCAACCUAAGCCAUUCUAUGAUCCUAUGCUUUUAUGAUUUUAUUAAGUGAAUCCAAAUGUAAAGAACAAAACUGAGGGCCUUCAUUUUGGCCUUCAGUUGAAGCCACAGUGGGGUACGCAGAUCCCUAAUUUCAUAGUAUCUCUGAUCUUCACACUUUAUAAGUAGCAUUUUAGAACACAGGCUUGAUUCAUUUUCUGAUUUAGAUCUCUACAGGAGUAUACACUGAAAAAAACAAGUACAAAGCUUGGGAGUUUCUCUUUAUGGUAUCUGUUUUCAAUGAACUGUUUAUGUCCUACACUGGGAUUAUGGCUUUAUGUGCUAUCAACUUCUUGGUCUGUUAGCCAAACCUCUCAAAGCCAUAUGAAUGUUGAGGUAUUUUUGGACUUUUGUUUUGUUUUGUUUUGUUUUGUUUUUUCCCCUGCAGAUUAUUCAGCUAUUAAUUUUUUCUUUCUUUUUUUUUUUUUUCCCACAUACUGUUAUGCUAAAAAAAACCAAACAAGUUGAACUCAUUGUGUUUCUUUUUAUCAUCAUCUCUUAAUUUUAGAUAAAUGUAGGCAUUAGAGAAUGAGAAAACAAGAUAUUUUGACUUGAAAACAUAAAACUUUAUGAUCAAAGCUGCUUUUUUUAGGGUAAAAUGUCACAGGGAUCUAAUUAGGAUAAAGAAUUUAAACUGUCAUUGUAAAUUGGAGUAGAGAGCUUUGUGUAUGGGCUUCAUGUAUUCAGGGCUACUUAACCUCUGCAGGAAGUGGAGAGAAGUGGUUUGCAUCAGCUGCACCGUGUACAUUGUUUUCUCCUUGGUCAUCAGAUGCCAGGAGUUACAGUAAUCCAUCCUGGAAGUGACAAACAUAUGACACCACAUGGCAUGAUCCUGUGGGAAGAAGGGUGGAAUUUCCUAUGGGUGCAAAUGCGUCAAGAAAAAGGACAUUUUUUUAAGUCUGAACACCCUUCCUGGCUGUCCCAGUUUCCCUUUAGAUACUGACAGGUACCCUCAGGUCUCCGCAGGACCUUUUCUUCUCCGAGCUGAACAGCCUCAGCUCUCCCAGCCUGUCCUCAUAGGAGAGGUGUUCCAUCCUUUGGACCAUUGUUGUGACCCUCCUCUGGACACGCUCGAACAGCUUCAUGUCUCUCUUGUACUGAGGACUCCACAUCUGAACACUGCUCCAGGUCUGCAUAUGCAAACAAGAUCCAGUAUCAGAAUAAUUCCAUUUUGACUUUCAACAUAGAUGUAAAUCUCUCAGAAAAGUCAACUGUGAAGAGACCAACAUAAAGAAGAAUGAAUGACAUCUGAACAUUCCUACAAGUUAAUAAAGACAGAGAUACAGCCACAAAUACAGUAAUAGCAUGGACAAUAGAUGACAGAUAUCUGCAGGAUGGUCAAGUGUUUCUGAUGAAGGUCUGCAGUUGACGAGCACAGUCACCACCAUGAGCUUUGCAUCUUCACUAGCAAUGACAAAGAGCCUGCAUGCUGCUCUUGUAAAAAUCUGCACCAUGGAGGUGACCCAUUGCUGCUGUCACCACUGCUGAAAC